UACAGGGGGGGCAAGCGUUGUUCGGAAUUACUGGGCGUAAAGGGCUCGUAGGUGGCCAACUAAGUCAGACGUGAAAUCCCUCAGCUUAACUGGGGAACUGCGUCUGAUACUGGAUGGCUUGAGUUUGGGAGAGGGAUGCGGAAUUCCAGGUGUAGCGGUGAAAUGCGUAGAUAUCUGGAAGAACACCGGUGGCGAAGGCGGUAUCCUGGACCAACACUGACACUGAGGAGCGAAAGCCAGGGGAGCAAACGGG
rnacentral:rRNA from 1 species